GGUGAACAGAUGAAGAGGUGAUCAGGUGAACAGAUGAAGAGGUGAACAGAUGGACAGCUGAUCAGGUGAAGAGGUGAUCAGGUGAACAGAUGAAGAGGUGAUCAGGUGAACAGAUGAAGAGGUGAUCAGGUGAACAGAUGAAGAGGUGAUCAGGUGAACAGGUGAUCAGGUGAACAGAUGAACAGGUGAACAGAUGAACAGGUGAUCAGGUGAACAGAUGAAGAGGUGAACAGAUGGACAGCUGAUCAGGUGAAGAGGUGAUCAGGUGAACAGAUGAAGAGGUGAUCAGGUGAACAGAUGAAGAGGUGAUCAGGUGAACAGAUGAACAGGUGAUCAGGUGAACAGAUGAACAGGUGAUCAGGUGAACAGGUGA